GACGAACGCUGGCGGCGUGCCUAAUACAUGCAAGUAGAACGCUGAAGGAGGAGCUUGCUUCUCUGGAUGAGUUGCGAACGGGUGAGUAACGCGUAGGUAACCUGCCUGGUAGCGGGGGAUAACUAUUGGAAACGAUAGCUAAUACCGCAUAAUAGCAGUUGUUGCAUGACAACUGUUUGAAAGGUGCAAUUGCACCACUACCAGAUGGACCUGCGUUGUAUUAGCUAGUUGGUGGGGUAACGGCUCACCAAGGCGACGAUACAUAGCCGACCUGAGAGGGUGAUCGGCCGCACUGGGACUGAGACACGGCCCAGACUCCUACGGGAGGCAGCAGUAGGGAAUCUUCGGCAAUGGACGGAAGUCUGACCGAGCAACGCCGCGUGAGUGAAGAAGGUUUUCGGAUCGUAAAGCUCUGUUGUAAGAGAAGAACGAGUGUGAGAGUGGAAAGUUCACACUGUGACGGUAUCUUACCAGAAAGGGACGGCUAACUACGUG
rnacentral:rRNA from 1 species